GAUGAAGAACGUAGCGAAAUGCGAUACGUAGUGUGAAUUGCAGAAUUCAGUGAAUCAUCGAAUCUUUGAACGCACAUUGCGCCCGGUAGUAUUCUGCCGGGCAUGCCUGUUCGAGCGUCAUUUCAACCAUCAAGCCCCAGCGCUUGUGUUGGGGGCCUGCGGCUGCCGCAGCCCCCUAAAAGCAGUGGCGGGCUCGCUAUCACACCGAGUGCAGUAGUUCAUCUUCUCUCCGGUCUUGUGAGGCGGGUUCCGGCCGUGAAACACCCCACUACAUUCAAGGUUGACCUCGGAUCAGGUAGGAAUACCCGCUGAACUUAAGCAUAUCAAUAAGCGGAGGA
rnacentral:misc_RNA from 1 species